rnacentral:rRNA from 1 species
GGACUACACGGGUUUCUAAUCCUGUUUGCUCCCCUAGCUUUCGUGCCUCAGUGUCAGGUGUUGUCCAGGGACUCGCCUUCGCCACUGGUGUUCCUCCCGAUAUCUACGCAUUUCACUGCUACACCGAGAAUUCCAGUCCCCCCUCCAAACCUCUAGCAAGAUAGUAUUCUAUGCAGUUUCCGGGUUAAGCCCGGAGAUUUCACAUCAAACUUACCCCGCCACCUACGCACCCUUUACGCCCAGUGAAUCCGAACAACGCUUGGGACCUCUGUAUUACCGCGGCUGCUGGCAC